CGCCUAUUCCAAAAUUGCUUCUCUUUCUCACUUUCCCUGUAUUUUCUGUGCUUCUUCCUUUUAUGUUCUAUGUUUGCAUCUCUAUUUAGUAUUUAGUUAUUUCUGGUUACUUUUGAUUCUUCAAGUAUUGCAUGUUGGUAUCAAACUGCGGAUUGGAUUUCUUUUUUAAUUCAAUUAGAAGAAACUACACGGCGGUGAUCUUUGAGACUCUCAUAUUUGAAAGCCUUAUGUUAUUUGAAGCAUCUUCUCUAUCUUGAAACUCUUCGAUGGUACCGAAAUUACUCCGCCUUCAUCGACUAGUGAUGCUGACAUUGACGCCUUCGCUUUUCUUGGACUUGUAAG